rnacentral:rRNA from 1 species
GACGAACGCUGGCGGCGUGCUUAACACAUGCAAGUCGAACGGCAAGGCCCUGCUUUUGUGGGGUGCUCUAGUGGCGAACGGGUGAGUAACACGUGUGUAACCUGCCCUUGACUUUGGGAUAACUUCUGGAAACUGGGGCUAAUACCGCCUAGGAGCUCCUGCUGCAUGGUGGGGGUUGGAUAGUUUCGGCGGUUGGGGAUGGACUCGCGGCUUAUCAGCUUGUUGGUGGGGUAGUGGCUUACCACGGGUUUGCCGGGUAGCCGGCCUGUGAGGGGGAACGGCGACAUUGGGACUGAGAGACGGCCCAGACUCCUACGGGAGGCAGCGGGGGGGAGUAUUGCACAGUGGGCGGGAGCGUGAUGCAGCGGCGCCGGGUGCGGGAAGACGGCCUUCGAGUGAUGAACCGCUUGCGCCUGUGACGAAGAGUGAGUGACGGUAAUGGAUAAAGAAGCACCGGCUAACUACGUG